rnacentral:lncRNA from 1 species
CACUCGGGUCCCCUUCUGCACCGUGGAAGUUUUGUUCUUUCACUCUUUGCAAUAAAUCUUGCUACUGCUCACUCUUUGGGUCCACGCCGCUUUUAUGAGCUGUAACACUCAGUGCGAAGAUCUGCAGCUUCACUCCUGAGCCCAGCGAGACCACGAGCCCAUGGAGAGGAACAAACAACUCCAGACGCGCUGCGUUAAGAGCUGUAACAUUCACCGCGAAGGUCUGCAGCUUCACUCCUGAGCCAGCGAGACCAGGAACCCACCAGAAAGAAGAAGCUCCGAACACAUCUGAACAUCAGAAGGGAGAGACUCCAGACGCGUCAUCUUAAGAGCUGUAACACUCACGGCGAAGGUCUGCAGCUUCACUCCUGAGCCAACGAGACCACGAACCCACCAGAAGGAAGAAACUCCGAACACAUCUGAACAUCAGAAGGGACAGACUCCAGACGCACCACCUUAAGAGCUGUAACACUCACCGCGAGGGUCCGCGGCUUCAUUCUUGAAGUCAGUGAGACCAAGAACCCACCAAUUCCGGACACACUGGGUCACUUUCUGACUGCACUUUCUUGAAGUAUUCGUCUUUGGUCCUGUGGUAGUACCCAGUGGACAACCUCACUUGCCUGUAAACUACUUCCUUGAGUUUUAUGUUAUGUGGCGUGUACCCUAAAAAAAAAAAUAGAGGUGCAGUGCUCCAGCACGGGAUGAGGCAGCGUGGACAGGAGCAUCUCCCAACCUCAGUGAAGUCUGAGCCGCGUGCCUGCAACAAUCCCACUGUGGCAGAGAACCGCAGAGUUCCUUCCGGUUUGGCAGCAGUCAUUCGCAACCUCACAGCCCUCUGGAACCCCAGCCUGGGGGUCUCAGAACGCCGAGGCGGGGACUGGGAGCCGAGUCGGAUUCCGAGACUAUGGGCCAGGGUUGGCUGGAUUCAGUUACCUGGCUGAGGCCUGGUGAGCAAAAUAUCCCAAACCUCGCGUGAUCUGGAAGGGGAAGCCGGAUAAAUACGGAUCUCCAGAUGUGCCAGUCUCGAGUCUAUCGAUAUGAGGUCCCCCUAGAGUUUCUAUUCAUCAUUUUAACCGCAUUUCAUCGAUCUUGAGACACGGCUUUUGAUAUUUUAUCACCUCAAGAUAAAUAGUGUUAGAUGUCUAAUAGCAGCGUUUUUCUAAGAGAUACAUGAAACAACAGUGUCAGAAACGAUGCUGUCUUCCAUGCGAUGAAAUUGUUGUAAUAGGUGCUCAAUAAAUGUUGACAAUAAAUGAGUGAAUGAAUGAAAAUUAUUUUAUUUUUA